GAUUUACUUAUUUAAGACUGCUCAGCCGGGACACUGGUUUGCAGUCACAAACAGAAUGGCAGCAUUGGAUGGCUUCUCUUUUGGAGUUGCAGGCGCUGCCGAUCCCCAUCCACAGGAAUCUGGCGUAGGAAAUGAGGGGACCGAUUCCCAUACAAUAGCUAGGACCUAGGAAAAGUCGUCACAUCACAGUCAACAUCUCAGCCACUUCAGAAACAACAACUGCUCUAAGGAAAAUGUGCAAAUAUCAAGGUUACCUGAGUCUGCUGGUCACUUCUAGUUUUUGGACUCUUGAAGAUAGAAGACUUGCUGACUUGUAAGCACGCAGCAGGCAACUGGUAGAAGAUUCAUGAAGACCACUGAGAGAAAGGAAGAAGAGGCAGGGAGGGAUCCACACGUGAGAGAUACAUUGGUCUCCGUUCCCAGGACACCUUGAGAGAGAUGAAGAUGAAGACACGGAGGCUCCACAAAAUGAAACUGUCUGCCCAAAGUCACCCAGUUAAUGGCGGAGUGGAGGUACAAAGCCACAUUUGUUCAACUCCAAAGACAAGGCCCUGGAACCACAUUCUGAUGUCUCCCUCACCCCGGAAAGACAGAGCAGUCUCCUGUCCCUGCUCGAGUGGCCACUAACCAAGAAGGUACAUCAUCUGCACACUGCAGGCAUUGUAUGGAGUCCUUGACCUGAAGUCUGGAGCAGACCAGUUGUCAAGAGCCACAUGCUGGGCAGAGGGAGACCGAGGACAGCCAGCCCAGCCUCCAUGAGCUGGAGCAAAGGUCUUCAGCCUUGAGCACCACAUGCGCCUUUCUCUCUGAGCUGCUGAGAUGAUGGUUCCCCUGCCUGCUCUGCUCUCAAAGAAACCUUGUGCUCAUACCAUUGCUCCCUCAACACCUCCACAGAGUGCCGGGAGGAAGGGGGCCUGGCUUACGCAUGGUAGCAGCCAGUGCUUGUCGUGCCUUUGUGCUGAGCCUUGGAGCUGAGAGCUGCUCUGAGCCUUGUCCACUUCUGCGGUUCGACUCCUUUGCCUGCUUCCCAUCCAUCAUCUUGAGCAUUCCCGGCUGGCCUAAGACUGGGGCCAAGAAGUUUCCCACUUUGGAUCGGCAGGGCACGGGUGGACGCUGACAGAGCUUCCAGUCUGACCUUGGGCAAGUCACCUGAGCCUCCGAGCCCUGGCUUCCUCAUCUGGGGAAUGGUUCUGCAGCUGCCCCGCCCACUUCACAGGCUUAUUAUGGGACUCCGAUGACAUGAGAAAGUACUUUGAAAACCGAAGUGGUCUGCACACGGAAGAUUUUGUUUUAUCUGUUCAAAAACAACAGCUCACGUUUCACAAGUGGGACUUUGCGGUAUUAGCUUACUUCCGUGGGCUUAGCAGUUUCAAAUUCAGGAGUGAGUCUCGUGAUCUCACAGGACCCACUCGUAGAGCUCCCCUUUGUAUUCUUAUUGU